UUGAUGGUAGUGUAUUGGACUACCAUGGCAGUCACGGGUAACGGAGAAUUAGGGUUCGAUUCCGGAGAGGGAGCCUGAGAAACGGCUACCACAUCUACGGAAGGCAGCAGGAGCGAAAAUUGCCCAAUCCCGACACGGGGAGGCAGUGACAAGAAAUAACAACUCUAGGUUAUUCUUAGAAGUGUAAUGAGGAUAAUUUACAACCCUUACCGAAAGCAAUUGGAGGGCAAGUCUGGUGCCAGCAGCCGCGGUAAUUCCAGCUCCAAUAGCGUAUAUUAAAGUUGUUGCAGUUAAAAAGCUCGUAGUUGAAGUUCUGGCUGCUCGAUCCUCGAGCUCUGUAGCCGAGGAAUCGACAGUCAUCCGCUUGCAAAUAUAUGUUCGCCUUUAACCGGGCGGCUAUAUGAGUAAGCAUUUUACCUUGAGAAAAACAGAGUGUUCCAGGCAGGUUUGUCCGGAAUGCAUUAGCAUGGAAUAAUAGAAUAUGACUGAAGUCUAUUUAUUGGUUUAAGGCUUUAGUAAUGAUUAAUAGGAACAGUCGGGGGCAUUGGUACUUGUCAGUCAGAGGUGAAAUUCUAGGAUUUGACAAAGACUAACAAAUGCGAAAGCAUUUGCCAAGGAUGUUUUCAUUAAUCAAGAACGAAAGUUAGGGGAUCAAAGACGAUCAGAUACCGUC
rnacentral:rRNA from 1 species